rnacentral:rRNA from 1 species
UACGAAGGGGGCUAGCGUUGCUCGGAUUGACUGGGCGUAAAGGGCGCGUAGGCGGUUCGUACAGUCAGACGUGAAAUUCCUGGGCUCAACCUUGGAACUGCCUUUGAUACUGGAGACCUUGAGUCCGGGAGAGGUGAGUGGAAUUGCGAGUGUAGAGGUGAAAUUCGUAGAUAUUCGCAAGAACACCAGUGGCGAAGGCGGCUCACUGGCCCGGAACUGACGCUGAGACGCGAAAGCGUGGGGAGCAAACAGG